rnacentral:tmRNA from 1 species
GGGGGUGGUUCAAACGACGAUACGUUCGCACUGGCAGCCUAAGGGCCGCCGUCCUCUGCCUAGUUCACUGACGGGCUAGCGUCGCAAGACCGGUAGCAAUACCGCCAGAGGUCAUAUACGUCAGUUAAGCCUUGCCGGCGUCGCGACGGCCGGGUCGAAAACUUAGCGAAUCGCCGUAGCGCAGCGUGUUCGUCCGCGUCGCUGCGGUUAAAUCAAAAGACUGAACUAAACAUGUAGAACUAGUCGUAGAGCGCUUCUGGACGCGGGUUCGAUUCCCGCCGCCUCCACCA